AGUGCCAUUUACAGCUAGUGUGGGUAAAGUACCAGGUAACGGACGUAUCUAAUGGAAAUUAAGUUACGGCAACUCUUCUGGAACGGAGCGCGCUAUAAAGAUAUGCUGACGACUUCGAAAUGCAUUAUAAGUAUUGUAAUAAAUGAAUAAAUAAAUAAA